GCACCUGUAGCUCAAUUGGAUAGAGCACUUGGCUUCGGACCAAGGGGUUGCGGGUUCAAGUCCUGCCGGGUGCA
rnacentral:tRNA from 1 species